rnacentral:rRNA from 1 species
CCCUUAGAUGUUCUGGGCCGCACGCGCGCUACACUGAUGCAUUCAACGAGUCCAACCUUGACCGAGAGGUCCGGGUAAUCUUUGAAACUGCAUCGUGAUGGGGCUAGAUUAUUGCAAUUAUUAAUCUUCAACGAGGAAUGCCUAGUAAGCGUGAUUCAUCAAAUCGCGUUGAUUGCGUCCCUGCCCUUUGUACACACCGCCCGUCGCUCCUACCGAUUGAGUGUGUUGGUGAGGAGUUUGGAUUGGCCUCGGAAGGUGGUUCGCCACCGUCCGUAGCUGAGAAGUUCUCCAAACCGCCCCACUUAGAGGAAGGAGAAGUCGUAACA